UACGGAGGGUGCAAGCGUUAUCCGGAUUCACUGGGUUUAAAGGGUGCGUAGGCGGCCUGAUAAGUCAGUGGUGAAAGCUUCCCGCUUAACGGGAAAACUGCCAUUGAAACUGUCGGGCUUGAGUACGAUUGAUGUGGGCGGAGUACAUCAUGUAGCGGUGAAAUGCUUAGAUAUGAUGUAGAACACCGAUUGCGAAGGCAGCUCACAAAAUCGCAACUGACGCUGAGGCACGAAAGCGUGGGGAGCAAACACG
rnacentral:rRNA from 1 species